rnacentral:rRNA from 1 species
UACGUAGGGUGCAAGCGUUUAUCCGGAAUUAUUGGGCGUAAAGAGCUCGUAGGCGGUUUGUCGCGUCUGCUGUGAAAACUGGGGGCUCAACCCCCAGCCUGCAGUGGGUACGGGCAGACUAGAGUGCGGUAGGGGAGAUUGGAAUUCCUGGUGUAGCGGUGAAAUGCGCAGAUAUCAGGAGGAACACCGGCGGCGAAGGCGGCCCUCUGGAUCGUUGCUGACGCUGAGACGCGAAAGCGUGGGGAGCAAACAGG